GGUUGAUCCUGCCAGUAGUCAUAUGCUUGUUUCAAAGAUUAAGCCAUGCAUGUUUAAGUAUAAGCUUCUAUACGGUUAAACUGCGAAUAGCUCAAUAAAACAGUUAUAGUUUAAGUGAUGAUACAUUACUAUACGGAUACCCAUGGUAAUUCUGGAGCUAAUACGUGCGAAAACACCUGACUUUUUGGAAGGGUGGCAUUUAUUAGAACAAGAACCAGAGCGUCUUGACGCUUUUCGGUGAAUGAUAAUAACUGAGCGGACCGUGUAUACGGCAGUUCAUUCAAGUUUCUGA
rnacentral:rRNA from 1 species